rnacentral:lncRNA from 1 species
AUGCCCCAGGAACCCAAAAUCCAGCAGAUCCCAAAAUCCUGGAAAUUGCACCCGACCCCAGAACCUGGCAGUGCCCAAAUCCCAUACGGGACCCUAAAAUCCAAUGGGAUCCCACAGAACCCCAAAAUCCCACAGGAUCCCAAAACCUGGCAGUGCCACAAGAUUCCCAAAACCGGGGGAGUCCCAAAAUCCAGUGGGAUCCCAAAAUCCAGUGCCCCAAAACUUGGCAGCGCUCAGAUCCCACAGGAUCCUAAAAAUUCAUUGGGACCCCAAAAUCCAGUGGGACCCCAAAAUCCAGUGGGACCCCAAAAUCAAGUGGUGCCCCAGAUCCCACAGGACCCUAAAAAUUCAAUGAGAUCCCAAAAUCCCCCAGGACCCCAAAAUCUGGCAGUGCCCAAAUCCCACAGGACCCUAAAAUUCAGUGGGACCCCAGAAUCCCCCAGGACCCCAAAAUCUGGCAGUGCCCAAAUCCCACAGGACCCUAAAAUCCAAUGGGAUCCCACAGGACCCCAAAAUCCCCCAGGACCCCAAAAUCUGGCAGUGCCCAAAUCCCACAGGACCCUAAAAUUCAGUGGGACCCCAGAAUCCCACAGGACCCCAAAACCUGGCAGUGCCCAAAUCCCACGGGAUCCCCAAAGCUGUGGAGACCCCAAAAUCCCGCAGGACCCCAAAACCUGGAAGUGCCCAAAUCCUAAAGGACCCUAAAAUUCAAUGGGAUCCCACAGGACCCCAAAACCUGGCAGUGCCCAAAUCCCACAGGACCCUAAAAUCCAAUGGGAUCCCACAGGACCCCAAAAUCUGGCAGUGCCCAAAUCCCACAGGACCCUAAAAUCCAAUGGGAUCCCACAGGACCCCAAAAUCCCACAGGAUCCCAAAACCUGGCAGUGCCACAAGAUUCCCAAAACCGGGGGAGUCCCAAAAUCCAGUGGGAUCCCGAAAUCCAGUGCCCCAAAACUUGGCAGCGCUCAGAUCCCACAGGAUCCUAAAAAUUCAUUGGGACCCCCAAAAUCCAGUGGGACCCCAAAAUCCAGUGGGACCCCAAAAUCAAGUGGUGCCCCAGAUCCCACAGGACCCUAAAAAUUCAAUGAGAUCCCAAAAUCCCCCAGGACCCCAAAAUCUGGCAGUGCCCAAAUCCCACAGGACCCUAAAAUCCAAUGGGAUCCCACAGGACCCCAAAAUCCCCCAGGACCCCAAAAUCUGGCAGUGCCCAAAUCCCACGGGAUCCCCAAAGCUGUGGAGACCCCAAAAUCCCGCAGGACCCCAAAACCUGGAAGUGCCCAAAUCCUAAAGGACCCUAAAAUUCAAUGGGAUCCCCCAGGACCCCAAAACCUGGCAGUGCCUAAAUCCCACAGGACCCUAAAAUCCAAUGGGAUCCCACAGGACCCCAAAAUCCCCCAGGACCCCAAAAUCUGAGUCCCAAAUCCCACAGGACCCUAAAUUCAGUGGGACCCCAGAAUCCCACAGGACCCCAAAAUCUGGCAGUGCCCAAAUCCCACAGGACCCUAAAAUCCAAUGGGAUCCCACAGAACCCCAAAAUCCCACAGGGUCCCAAAACCUGGCAGUGCCACAAGAUUCCCAAAACCGGGGGAGUCCCAAAAUCCAGUGGGAUCCCGAAAUCCAGUGCCCCAAAACUUGGCAGCGCUCAGAUCCCACAGGAUCCUAAAAAUUCAUUGGGACCCCAAAAUCCAGUGGGACCCCAAAAUCCAGUGGGACCCCAAAAUCAAGUGGUGCCCCAAGAUCCCACAGGACCCUAAAAAUUCAAUGAGAUCCCAAAAUCCCCCAGGACCCCAAAAUCUGGCAGUGCCCAAAUCCCACAGGACCCUAAAAUCCAAUGGGAUCCCACAGGACCCCAAAAUCCCCCAGGACCCCAAAAUCUGGCAGUGCCCAAAUCCCACGGGAUCCCCAAAGCUGUGGAGACCCCAAAAUCCCACAGGACCCCAAAACCUGGAAGUGCCCAAAUCCCACAAGGACCCUAAAAUCCAAUGGGAUCCCACAGGACCCCAAAACCUGGCAGUGCCCAAAUCCCACAGGACCCUAAAAUUCAAUGGGAUCCCACAGGACCCCAAAAUCCCGGACCCCAAAACCUGGCAGUGCCCAAAUCCCACAGGACCCUAAAAUCCAAUGGGAUCCCACAGGACCCCAAAAUCCCCCAGGACCCCAAAACCCCCCCCCGGCUCCACAAGGCCCCAAUUCCGACUUCUCCAGUUCCUGCUCUGGGCAUUCCCGGUUUCUCCCGCUGGAAUUUUGGGAAAUCCACUGGAAUUCCGGGAAAUCCCGCUGGAAUUCUGGUGGAUCCUGUUGGAAUUCCAGGGGGACCCUAAUGGAAUUUUGGGGGACCCUGUUGGAAUUUUGGGGGGGUCCCACUGGAAUUCCAGGGGAUGCUGCUGGAAUUUUGGGGGAUCCAGCUGGAAUUUUGGGGGAUCCAUGCGGAAUUUUGGGGGAUCCUGUUGGAAUUCUGGGGGAUCCCAUUGGAAUUUUGGGAA